rnacentral:rRNA from 1 species
UUGCACGCUGGCGGCAUGCUUUACACAUGCAAGUCGAACGGUAACAGGCCUUCGGGUGCUGACGAGUGGCGAACGGGUGAGUAAUGCAUCGGAACGUACCCAGAGGUGGGGGAUAACGCAGCGAAAGCUGUGCUAAUACCGCAUGUGAUCUGAGGAUGAAAGCGGGGGACCGAGCAGCAAUGUUUGGCCUCGCGCCUUUGGAGCGGCCGAUGGCGGAUUAGCUAGUUGGUGGGGUAAAGGCCUACCAAGGCGACGAUCCGUAGCUGGUCUGAGAGGACGAACAGCCACACUGGGACUGAGACACGGCCCAGACUCCUACGGGAGGCAGCAGUGGGGAAUUUUGGACAAUGGGCGCAAGCCUGAUCCAGCAAUGCCGCGUGCGGGAAGAAGGCCUUCGGGUUGUAAACCGCUUUUGGCAGGAACGAAACGGUGUCCGCUAAUACCGGGCGCUAAUGACGGUACCUGCAGAAUAAGCACCGGCUAACUACGUG